rnacentral:tRNA from 1 species
GGUUCGAUGGUGUAGCUGGUUAUCACGUCAGUCUAACACACUGAAGGUCUCCGGUUCAAGCCCGGGUCGAAUCA